rnacentral:tRNA from 1 species
GGCCGGUUAGCUCAGUGGUUUGAGCGCAGUGCUGACAACCAUCACCAACACUGAGGUCGCGGGUUCAUUUCCCACUCGGUCC